UCUUAUGUCCAUACCUACAUCAUAUCAUUAAUGCACCGGAUCCCAUUAGAACUUCACAGUUAAGCGCGCUCAGGCUAGAGUAGUAUUCGGAUGGGUGACCACCCAAAAAGUCCUAGUGUUUUAAAUG
rfam:Picea glauca, whole genome shotgun sequence.